rnacentral:rRNA from 1 species
UACAGAGGGUGCGAGCGUUGUCCGGAAUCACUGGGCGUAAAGGGCGCGUAGGUGGCGCUGCAAGUCGGUGGUGAAAGCUCGCCGCUUAACGGCAAGUCGGCCAUCGAAACUGCAGGGCUCGAGCACUGUAGGGGCUAAUGGAAUUCCGGGUGUAGCGGUGGAAUGCGUAGAGAUCCGGAAGAACACCAGUGGCGAAGGCGGGCAUCUGGGGGACACCUGACGCUGAGGCGCGAAAGCUAGGGGAGCGAACGGG